UCCUCUUCAUCCUCUGUUUCAGGUAUCUCAGUGAAUAACCUUCAACACUCCAAGGACAUGAUUGUAGGCGAGCACAGCAUCAAAGAUACUCCAUGGAAGUGAAACAUAUCUUAUUAACUAUCCACCCUUCAUUUCUUCCGGAUUUUACCAGGCAGCAGCUAUGACAACCAUGACCUUUGACAGUCUUGGUGUGGUGCUAGGCAUGGAACUGUGCAACCUUUUUAGCAUCAUCACCAGCCUUCACCAUGGACUAAACAAGGGGAUAAAGAUAACAUGCACUGUGUUUUGUGGAGCAGCUGAAAUAUCAGCCUUGGUUUUGUGUUGUAUGGGAGAUCUUAAUAAAGCCGUACUCAUUCCUCUUGUGGUUGCGACAAUAGUGAUUAAUUUUAUAGAGCUGAUAAUAGAAUCUCUGCCACUUGGAUCCAAGCAGCAGAGCCAGGCUGACAUUGCUGCCAAAGCGUGUUCUGUCAUCCAUGAACUUCUUACAAUUGCAGUCAUGUUUGUUACUGUUUGGGAGACUGAUCACUGCAGAAAGAACCAGAAUGAGUCGUGGCUUGUGACAGUGGUGGCCGUUUACGCAGCGUGGAUGUUCCUGUUCGUGAUUUGGGUUUUUGUGUUACAUCAAACCAAACUGUGGAGAAAAGUGAACUCUACAGUGAAUCCUGAGAAGCAAUUCGCCAUAAAGAUGAAGUUCUGUAAAGCUGACAAAGCUUUUUCAGUGAUCCUCAUCGUUGGAACCGUAGCUUUUAAUGUAGCUAUCAUUUAUGGGAUAUUUGGGUGUCCGAAAUUAUCCUGAUUGCAGGGAGGGAGAGUGAUUGCAGGGUUUACUGAGGGAGAGAGAGGGCGUGGUCCAGAGCAGAAACGUGGUGAGGAGACAGAAUGACUGGCAGAGCCAGCCCAGCGAUCAUGACACCUGAUGCAUGAAGACUUGCGCAAGUUUAUUUGCUUCAUGCUGUAUAUUUUGUCUAUAUUGUAUUACGCAUUUCAGAUAUUUAUUACUCAAUUUCAUUUUGUGCAAUGUUCAAACAAUGUGACUUUUUUGACGUUUCCCCAUAGACUGUAGCUUUUUUUAAUAUCAAAACAACAAAAAGCACUGCAGGAUUGUGCGCAAGAUUAUUGCUUUGCUUUAAUUUUCCAACAAAUCCUGUUAAAUCAAAUCUCAUAAUUUUUCCAUUUAUCACCAGACAGUAAAUGUUUGUGAAAGUUUCACUAGUCAUACUGUAAAUGCUCUUCCUCGUGCCAGGCACAAACCAUUGAUAAACAGAUAAAUCGGAGGUGAGAGCAUCCACAGUAACUGUGGAAAGUGCUUCUCUCUGCAAAGCGAACAGGAGCUGAAGUGAAAUAGUGAAAGCCUAAGUGGAUUUAAGUGCUAAGUUGAAAUUGCAAACGGAUGUAAAGAUGGAGUUUGUGUGAAUCUACUGACCUUAUGCCAGUAUGUGUUCAUGGAGAGGACUCCCGUGCUUUUACCUUUGUUCUCUGAACAAUUGUUCAUAACAAACAGGAAAUGCAGGAUAAACGUUAUUGUUUAAUUAUUAUCUGUGUCCACAUCUGUGACACUUUACAUGACAUGUUGAUCGGUAACUGAAUACUGACACACGACAGCAGUCAUAACCAUCACCUGUGCUAAAUGACUAAAACUGAAGGUUUUGUGUUGUAAUACAAAUAUAACGUGUUGGGAAACUGGAUCUACGAACAUUUUACCUAAAUCUAAAACAGAAGCAAAAUUUCAUAAUUAUUGAUAUCAGAAAAAGAAAUGGUUUUGUGCUACAGUCAUAUGCACAUAACAAGAUGAAGUCCAUGUUCAUGUUCAGGAUAACAACUGACCCAGUUCUUCAAACCUCUACUUGUAAACAAAAGAAAUAACUUGCUUUCACUUUACUUUAGUACUGAAUCAUAGGUCAUUUCUAGAUCCAACAACCCUUAUUUAAGAGGCAGCUCAAAGUCCAAAUGCUGUUAACUGUUUAUUACCAAUAGUGAAGGACUUUUCUCAACCACUGAUAAUGACACUAAAAUAAUCUUUAUUAAAAUUGGUCAGGUUUUUAUGUGGGUGACACAAAAUUCCUUAGACAUAAGAUAUAAAGAAAUGAACCGGAUGAACAGAAUGGAUGCUAUAUGAUCAUGUUAACACCAAACCUGUCAACAGGAAACAGAAAAAACGUUUUGUAAUUUUUAAAUAUAGUCUCAUCUUUCCCACUCGUGUGUUUAAGGCACAUUUAGUGAUAAUUUUAAAUUGUAAUUAUUUUAUUUUCAAUGCUGUAACUGUAUCAAAACAUAUUUCAAUCUGAAUCUACUGUAUAACAGAUAUACACAGAAAAAAAACACAGUAUUUACAUUAAGUUCUAUUAAAAACAGCAAUAGUCAAAAUAAUUUCAGUGCAAGUCAUUCAAAUUCUGUCCACAAAACUGUUGAAUGCAUUAACCCACGCCUCUAUAAAAACAUUAUGUAGAAAAAGGAAAUAAGCCGUCACUCUUCGGAAAUGAAAAGUGGUGAAAUGCUGAUAUCCAUUUACAGCAUAAAACAGGAUGAGGAAAGAAAACAAAGAGAUCACUCAGUAGAUUUUCUGUAAGUUGUGUAAUAAUUUCUAUUUAAUUAUCUACUUUAAAAGUGUGAUAACAGAGCAACACCAUUAUUUUACUUUAUGAGAGCCUGUACAAGAGCACAAGUAAAAAAUAAAUGUCUCAAAGAUUGCA
ensembl:lncRNA